rnacentral:rRNA from 1 species
AUUGAACGCUGGCGGCAUGCCUUACACAUGCAAGUCGAACGGCAGCGCGGGGCAACCUGGCGGCGAGUGGCGAACGGGUGAGUAAUAUAUCGGAACAUACCCUAGAGUGGGGGAUAACGUAGCGAAAGUUACGCUAAUACCGCAUACGCACUAAGGUGGAAAGUGGGGGAUCUUCGGACCUCAUGCUCAUGGAGUGGCCGAUAUCUGAUUAGCUAGUUGGUGAGGUAAAGGCUCACCAAGGCUACGAUCAGUAGCUGGUUUGAGAGAACGACCAGCCACACUGGAACUGAGACACGGUCCAGACUCCUACGGGAGGCAGCAGUGGGGAAUUUUGGACAAUGGGGGGCAACCCUGAUCCAGCAAUGCCGCGUGAGUGAAGAAGGCCUCGGGUUGUAAAGGACUCUUUUGUCUAGGGAGAACGGUGAGUUC